UUUCCGUAGGUGAACCUGCGGAAGGAUCAUUCACAAUAAGUGUUUUAUGGCACUUUUUCAAUCCAUAUCCACCUUUUGUGCAAUGUGGUCUUUUAGUGCGAAUGCUUGUCAUCUGCGCUGCACGAUGUAAAUAUCAACGCUUAUCUUUAACAACUUUAUCUAAAACCUGUGUGAAUACUUAAUUCAAAUACAACUUUCAACAACGGAUCUCUUGGCUCUC
rnacentral:misc_RNA from 1 species